AUGAGGCAUUAAAAAGGAAGAGGAGUAUCCCAAGGGAGGUGAGCUGGAGGCAAAGCAAGAAGUCAUGGGUUAAGAAAAAUGACCAUGAUGGGUGACCAGCCUCGCCUGAGAGGUGGGUAUGAGCUAGAGUUUCUGACCACCAAGUCAUCAGUCGGAACAAUCCUUCUGGCCAACAGAACCUCUAGAAGGAGUCACUCAGGACGGAUUCCUUAGGGUCUUCUUCACAUUUCUCCUUACCCUUUGGCCCAACCUGCUCUGGAAAGUAAGUGUGUAAGUAAUCCAUGCAGUAAGAUGGCAGGUGAAAAGAUUGGGAGAGAAUAGGAGAGUAGUCCCAAAUAUGAUAAAGAUGGAGGGAUAGAUCUGGAAUGGGGAAAGUCAGCUCAGAAAGGUCACUAUCGUACAUGCAGAUUCUCCUUUAGUUUUGCCUGCCAGAGAGCGUUCCAUCCCCUUCUGUUUCUCUAUGGUUCACUGGGGUGAAAGCACAGUAAGAUUUGGCCAAGUUGCCAAAUAUUUCAGUUUUGAAAUAUUUGAAUAAUUGAAACCGAGUUUCAGGUUUUGGUUUGUACAUACAACUUAUUGUUGAUGUUAUUCUAAAUCUUCCCUCCACAGAAGAUGUGCAAGGCUUAACAUUCCCCAAAGGACUAAUUUUGGAAACGUAUUCAUGUGGACGUUCUGGAUCUUGGCAGUAUCAGUUCAUCUAGACGAGUCUGAAGUUAAACCCAGAGGUGCUGCAGGUGAUCAUUAGGGAGUUCCCAGCAUUUCUUAGGUCCCCCCAGAGCCACCAGCUGAUGCACUCAUUGGACCUCUGGGGAAUAGGAAGUACUGAUCAGAACUAUAAGAGAGAUAUCACAUGACCUCAGAAAUGCUGACCUCUGCAUUGACAUACAGGAACAGCACAGGAAAGGUCAGCCAAGGCUUGGGACUGAGAGUAGCAAAGUGCCCACGGGUGUAGCAUGGAGGUUAUCAGUCUUCCUGGAUGCCAAAUGUACAGGUAGUAUCAUGGGAACACAACAGGAAAUAGUUCUGCCCUCCUUGCAAAGCUUCCUUUGAUAAAAUAAAAUCCUCUGCAGCCAGAAAAGAUUCUGGGAAGGUAUUAGAACCACUCUUUGUCCACAAAUGUGAUUAUAAAAACAGCUUUUAAUAAACUCUAGAAAAAGGAGACUCUUGAGUUGUGUGGUACAGUACCUUUGGAGGCAGGCUGCCUGGGCUUGUGUCCAAGCUCAGCCACUGACCAGCAUUAUGACCUUGGGCAAUGCCUUCUCCUUGCUUUGCUGUCCUUAUUUGUAAAGAUGGGUUGUUGUGAAGAUUAAGCAAAUUGAAACAUGUGAAGUACUUUGAGCAGUGACUUGCAUACAGAAAAGUACCACAUGACUAUAGGCUAUCAAUUAUCAUUACUAGUACCUCUUUUCAGUUGUUGAUUAUUUUCAUUUCAAGGAGAUUUUCAUUUUUAACUUCUUUUUGCUGAAAUUUCAGAAUAAUUUCUCUUUUUCUCAUCUCAUAAGGAAGGUGAGGACUGGAUCAGAGGGUGAGAACUGGAAGGGACGGCAUUUACCUUGUAGAAGCUGAGGAGUGGAGACCCAGCUGGUGUCAAAGUUAAAAGAGCGCAGGUCUCCCUGCUCCUGGUAGAAAAGUCCUUCCACCACAUCGUGAUACUCUGUUGCCAUAGGAAAGCAGCCUGUGUUUGGCCCUGUGUUCCAGGUUGGGGAAAUGAGCAUGGGGAGGUGAAGUGACAGUCUCCAGUUCUCACAGGCAGAACUAGGUUUUGAACACAGGCUCCAGUCCAGUGGGUUUUGUUCCCAUUGUGUAGGAACUCUUCAUGUGCCAUAAUUCAACACUGUUAAUUGCUCCAAGACUUACUCAGGGUAACCUGGGAACAUGCCAGCCUGUGACUUUGUGGCAGGAGCUGAUCAGUGUUGAGUAUAAUAUUGUCCUUAUACUCCUAUAGCAACUUGUUGGCUUUCUUUUUCUUACAGCAUUGUCAUAUAGUUGGUUUGCAUUUAUUUUGAAUAAAGAAAAAAGGAGAUUUUUGUCUCUGAUAGGAAGUAGGCUCUGGCCACUGAUGCAUCCAUUCCUCAGCAGAGAUGAUCAGAGGCGCACAGUCUUGGGGACAAAGAGCAGGGAGUGAGGAGCCAGGGCCUAAUGAGUGGGGUUUCCUUAGGUUGAGAUGAGAGAGAGACUGGCUUUUCUUCCUUAUACCGAACACCUCUUUGCGUCGAUAUGAGGCAAGGCACCCACAGGAAUGCAAAAGGACCCAGGGCAGAGUUUGAGAUUUCAAGAAUUCUUUAGAAAGAGGUAAAAAGCAAAGAACUGUAGUCAAGCCCUCUGGAGUCCUUUGAGGACUCUGUACUGUCACAAUGCCAAUGAGACUUCCUGCUCUUCCAGCCUCAAAGGCACUAUGCAGGGCUCAGCUUGGCUGGGAGGAGAAAGAUUUUCCAGCUUGACUAGAAGGGAGAUAGCAUCACAGGGAUGUGAACUGAAAAUGCAGGGUUGAUGGGGAGUGUCCUGGAGAAAUGAAUGAAGUGCUCUGACAAAAAAAAUAUUAGAGAUGUAUAAUUCUAUCUCUUUGAUUAAUAUUUGGGAGCAAUAUGUUGAAUUGAAGUGUGGGAAAGAAGCCUCAAUUCUGGAGUUCCUUCACCUUAUUAAUGUGGAAAAUUUAUUAGCCACACUUUCUGUCUGAGACACUGCAGAGGGCUGAGACCCUAACUAAAGUGGGAGAGUUUGGUUUGAACUCCAUUCUCUUCUCUGCAUGGUGACUCCUGUCCCUUAAUUCAUGGCAGUGCUUUCUGGUGUCAGUUUGCUCAUUGUGAAUGCAAGGAACUGUACAUGACAGAUCUUUAACUCUUGUGCUGCCUCGACAAAAGUGGUAAUGAGUUAGUGAAAACAGAAGAGACAAACUCAGACACUUUGCCUCAUACUUCAGAUACAUGUGCACAUGGUAAAAUGAGCAAUUCUGUGGAUCCACCUGAGCUCCAUGGAAAUUCUCCGGCUCUCAUCACACUAUCUCCUGACCCUGCAGCUGCCAUCCCAGGCAGAUUCCUGAGAAGAGAAAGAGAAGGCAGUGAGUCCACUCACUCCCCAGAGACUCUAAGGGAGUCCAACAGAUGUCUUUUGACAAGCAUCAGAAGGGAAGAAUACUCCCAUUUCCAUGUCAUGUCCUGGGAGAAAAGCUGCUGCCCUAGGGGUGGUGCUCAGGAGUUAAGCAGCAGGAGGCUGUGUAGCUGGGUAGCAGCCGUUCUCCUUCAGCCGGGGGAGUGAGGCAUCUCUGGAGUAUGGCCUGGAAGCUGAAAUCACAGUGUUUUAAAGCCAGGGAGGGGUAGAGCGGUCAGAGGAAGGAGUUGGGUACCCUCACUUGCAUCUCCUCUUCUGAGGACUGGCCAAGGAGUCAAAGGCCACCUCUGCGUCUCACAGAUGCAUGGACUUCACACACUUGCUUCCAGCUGUACUUCAGUUCGGAUGUGUUUCUUUAGUACAUCCUACAGCUCUGGCCCACGGCCAGGGCCAUCAGCCUUCCACUCAGACCCAGAUCCUGGCUCUACUUCUGUGACCCUAGGUGAGCUAUUGCCUCUCUCCGGGCUCAGUAUCCCCAUCUGUAAGAUGGAGCUGACAGUGACAACCUCACAGGGUCAUCAUAGGAUGAAGUGAGUCCACACCUGCAAGUGGCUGAUCUCAUUGGCACUUAGUCAUUUAGUUCACUUUCUUGUCAGUUAUUCCACCUUAUAGUUUGCUCUUUCUCAUGAUAAGUUACAUUUCUAGGAUAGCUACUAUGGGCAAUGCAAUUUACAUACUUGCUUAUCAUUAGCUAUUUACAAUAACACCGUGAAGCUGGACCUUUUAUACCUGUUUCAGAGAUGAAGAGAUAUAGGUGAUUUUAGAAGACUGUGUGGUGCUUAUGUCAGGAGCACAAAAUCUCAGUUAGGAAACAUUUGAGAAGUCAUCUGGGGCCUCUGCUGCACUGUCUCAGUUUCCUGACAGGCAGUCACAGAGCAUCAGUUUGAGCAGGUCUGGUGAGGAGGGCACAGCCCCUGUUCUUUAUUUCUGACCCACUGCGGAGACGGCCUCCUCUAUAUUGCCCCCAAAUCACACACUGUGUUCCAUAGCCCAGAAGCAUCUGGAACCUGUGGUCUUCACUGACUAGCCGUGGUACCCUGGGCAAGUGCUGUAGCUUUUCUAUGCUCAUUUGUAAAGUGGGGUAAUAACAGAAAAUGCAUCACAGUGUUGUUGAGAGGAUUAAAUGAAUAACAAAUGUGAAGUGCCCAGGAUAGUACCUGGCAUAUAGGAAACACUCAACAGAUGCUAGUUACUAUUAUGGCUACGUACAGUUGGAUGGAUUUGUCCAGAUAUUUUUCCUUCUCCUCCUCAAAGACAUUCUUCCCUGUCUGUCAGAAGGACCCAGUGUGUCUCUUCCUGGGAAUCCAUCUUGUAGACCUUAUAAAACCAUGGCUCUGAAACUUUGACAACAUCUGCAUAACUAGCUUCCAAAUGCCAUUCUUUUCAAAACUCAUGAUUUCAAAUUUGGAGAAGAAUUGUACCCUGUUAGUCUUGGAGAUGCCCUCCACCUUCCUGUCUAUUGUUCAUUCAAAAAUGAAUAACUGGAUACACAUAGCAGGUAAUGGCCUGAUGACCUGUCAUAGGGCCUGGUGGAAACUUGGAAAUUUGGACAGGAGGUUACAAAGCUCCUUUUCUAGAAUGUGGGGCUCAGGGUGCCUGAUCUGGAUGGGGAUCUGGGAACCUGAUUUUAUCCAAAGGCAGAGUCAAUCUCUAGAACCUUGCAGACAGUUCAGCCAAAGAUGUUAUCCAAUGGUGGGGCAGAGAGGUAGAACCUGGUACAGGCCUAUGUUAAAGUCAAGUCAGGACACUAGGACAGAGUGAGUGGGUUUGAGGUGGAGGGUAGAAAAGAGAGUUUCUCUAUGGGGUUGGAAUCUAGCUAUUUGGGGAGAUAAAUGAUGAGAGCUCAUGGGGGGUUGUGGCUAAAAUUCCCAGAACAAUUAUGCAUUAUAACUAUAUAUAUUAUAUAUAUGCAUAUAAUAUAUAUAGUAUGUGUGUAUAUGGUUUUAUAUAUAUAUAUGCAUGGUUAUAAAGAUAUAGUAUAUAUUGCUUUAUCUAUCUACCUAUCAUCUAAUCUAGCUAUAUCAUUCAUCUCUCACUCAUAUAUACAUGUUAGUUCAGGAGGAAUCAUGAGAGAUGGCAAAAUUGGGAAGACCCUUGGAGGAACAAUGAGGAGGCCUUACUGGAACCAACUGUGUGUGUCUGGCAAACACUUGUUAACCUCUUUGUAUUUCUAUGGAGGGCAGGAUCUUUGAUUAGGAGGGCUGGUUGGAGAAAGUUUUCCUUCAACAUUGCCUAAAGUAGUCCAAAGAGGCUUUAAACAUUUUUUUUCAAUUCAAAAAAAUGUUUUUGCAGAUGUAUGAAGGUCUACUUGAUGUACAAUAAAUUGCAGAUAUUUGCAGUGCACAGUCUGAUGGAUUUUGAUUUACCUCUACAUCCAUGAAAGUAUAACCAUAAUCAAGAGACUGAACAUAAUCAUCACCAACACAAGUCCCAGUAGGGUAUUUAAUAACGUGAAUGGUAGAUUUUAUUGAUGAGGCCAGAAGGAAGGUCACAGGUUCAGCCUCAGAACAGGCUGUCAAUCACCUAAAUCUGAAAAAGUACAUUGUUCAAGAUAUCAGUGGAGUUUAAAUUGAGCUGCCCAAAGAAGGAUAAGGAGGUGCCAGUGGAAAUUUUUCAAUGUUUUGUUUCUAGCACACAGACACAAAAGAAGUAAAGAGGUAGAAGAUGAAAAUGAGGGCAAAAGAGCACAUUCAGUAAGUAUUCACAAUACAGAAUGCUUUAGAUGGAGUCUAGCCCUGCAUGUUGAUAACAGGCAGCACAUACUUUUGGUGAUGAAGGAAGGGAAAAUCUUCCUGUCCACUCCCCCCCAAACAACUAGAUUACUGGUGUAUGGGGUUGGGGAGAAACUAUAGCUGUACUCUGGAGACUGCCUCUUUAUGCUACAGCCUCAGCACCUUGGUUGUGUAGCCAAAUCUUUUAUGAAACUCUAGGAAAACUGUUAAAGAGUGUACAGCAAAUGCUACAAUGUCUGACUUCAACUCUGUCUCUCCUGCCCCACACUGAGCCUUCCCCCCACUGCAAUGUGGAAGGUCACGGACAGGCCAUGAGUGACCAAGCCUGAAGGAGAGGCAGGAAUUCCAGCCCUUUCUGGCCCCAUUUCUUAAACUCUUUAUUCAAGAGAAAAUCACGGUCUUAUUGGAACUGCUGUUCAGUAUAGAGCUCCACGGUUUCUGAGCUGCUCAGCGGUGGACCUGAGGCAGGGUGGUAGUCACUGGCACAGUAGUAGGAACCUUCAUCCACCUCUGAUGCCUUAAGGAUCUCAAGCAAAACCUGGUUGUUUGAUUUAUCAACGUUACCUCGGAACCUGUGCUGGAAACCAGGGCCGUAGGUGCCCCCAUCUCGGAAUAUGAAGCAUGUCUGGGACCAGACUGGCCUGAGGAAGUUCAGAUGGAUGCAAACUCAGAUUUGCUUGACCUCAUGGUAUUUGGCCUCCCUACCCUCGCUUCACUGCACUUACCCAACUGCCCAUCUUGCCAGUAUUCUGAGAGGACCAUUAGCAAGUACUCAAGGUGGUCAAAUUCUUUGAAAUUAAAAAUGGCACCAUCAGUACCCACCUAUGGGAAAUAAUAGUGCCCAUUCUCUACAGUUCUUUGAAAAUUGUCAAGGGCAGUUUCUUUGGACUUAAACAUAGUUGGUCUUUCAAUAUCAGGUUGCCUAGCUCUUGGCACUUCCUCUGAAUCCAGUCAGAUGAUUUUCUUUUUACUGUGCACCAGACCCUGAGGAUGCACUGCUGAAUGACAGAUGUGCUCUCUUUUCCCUUGGAGCUUCUGUUCUAGCGUGAGAGCCAGUCAUCAGUUGAUGAUUUGCAUCAUGAAUUCUUCACUGAUGCUGUGAUGGGUGAUCUGCAGAAGCAGGGGGAUUGCAAGAGCAUGCUACAGGGGCCAGGACCUGGCCAGGAGGUCCGGGAAGACUGCCCUAAAGAAGUGGCUUGGCAGCUGAGAUUGAAAAACAGAAGUUCCCCAUGGGUGCCAGACCGUGUCUGUUUGUCCCUCCACAUCCACUCCACUUCCUACUCGAGGAGGCUGACUGUAAUGGACAGCAUCCACCUGGUCCCUUUGCUCUCUGGCAUCCAAUUUAGUUUGGCCAGUGGGAGACACCAUCAGGAGAUGAAGUGGAAAGAGGAGACGGGGGUGGAGUGGUAGGCGCCCAGGUUCCUUUCUGCCAGGCUGCCGAGGGCCGCGGCUGCCUUCCUCCUGGAGGCUACAGCUGUCCCACAGCUGCAGGUUCCGGAAAAGGCCCCUCCACUCCAUGCUUCACACUAGGGUGCCAGUGGCUUCUUGUUGCCAGACUACCUUUUUUUUCUCAGUUUUCCAUAACCCAGCUGUGUUCAUUUUCUAUGGCUGCCUUAACAAAGUACCACAAACUGGGUGGCUAAAGACAACAGAAAUUUAUUUUCAGUUCUGGAGUCUAGAAGUCUGCAGUCAAGGUGUCAGCAGGGUCCUGCUCCUUCUGAAACCUGGAGGGGAAUUCUCCUUUGCCCCUUCCCACUUCUGCUGGUUUGGUGGCAGUCUUUGGCUCUUCAGCGUUUGCAGCUGCAGCGUUCAUCUUGGCCUUCACGGUCAUGUGGCAUGCUUUUUAUGUCUUUGUCUUUACAUGGCUGCCUUCUUACAAAGACAUCAGUCAUAUUGGAUUGGGGUCCACCUUACUUCAGUAUGACCGCGUCUUAACCAGUUACAUUAGUCUUAACUAAUCGCGUCCAUUGCAAUGGUGCUAUUUCCAAGAAAGGUCAUUUUAUGAGGUACUGGGGGUUAAGACUUCAACAUAUCUAUUUUUUGAGGGGCUCGAUUCAAUCUGUAACACCUGCCCACACCUUGUAAAUAUCCCUUUCAUUAGAUUCUCUGUAAAUUACCCCUUUGAGAGAACACUUUGCCUUUUGCUGGGACUCUCAUAUGUCAGAUAUAGGGGGCAGGUGGAGGGAAAGAACAUUAAGAAAUGAGGACAUGCCAAAAAAAAGUGCCCUGUGGCAGGAAGAAGUACUUUGACCUUAAAGCUGCAUAAAUAUCAAAAGAACAGUUAGCAAGGGCUCGAAUAAACCUGUCUUCCUAGAGGACCACUAUUGAACUAUCCCAGAUUAUUCAGGAAGUCAUUCUGAAAAAUCCCAAGAAUGUGCUUGUGUUUAUGACUAUAAUUUAUAUCUGCCACAGGUUAAAGGUAAUUUUAAGGGUUUAUUGCUAAUGGGCAAAAACAACCUUCCUCUAGCCCUGACCAGGAGAAAUUCAGUACAAACAGUAAGUCAAAGCCUGUGGUAGAAGUGGAGAAAGAACCGCUGGGAGAGGCACAGAGUGGCUGGAAGAUGUGCCAUGCCUGGUCCAGGAGAGGCAAGAACUGCUGCUGGGAGUUUGGCCUAGACUUGUGGCAGGAGCAAGAUGACCUGAUCACAAAGAUGGCUUAUCUUGCGGUGCCCAGGUAGAAGUCAGAAAGUGUGCCAGGGCCCCUGCCCUUGAACUCUACCUUUCUCGGUCUCUGUGAGGGCUCUGUUCCUUCUGCUUAGUCACUUGUUCUUUGUCAAGGCCAGGGAUUAGGCCACAACUUGCCGGGCCCUGGGGGAUGCCUGUCAUUUGUUAUGACUUUCUGGGAGAACUAAUGUUUCCUUGAAGUCUAUGAGGAAUAAAUGGAAUUACAUUUGCAAACACUUGGCUCAUUCUUCGUUGUUAGUUUCCACCUUCCAGAGAAGACCUGAGGCUUGAGCAGUUCCUAGGAGAGGCAAGGGUGCUUUGGGGGCUUUAUCCACCCUUCCCCAUAGUCUCCAUCAGUUCCUAUUCUUUGACAUGUUUUCCAAUCUUAUGUGCUAUGAAAAUGCAGCCUCUGGGCAAGCUUCUGAGGCAUCUUCCAACCAGACUGCCACCCACCAGACCUUCCUUUGUAGAAAUUCUGAAGUCGCCUUUGCAUAUAGUGCUUUAUGAUGCAUGAGUGCUGCCCCACGCUGGCUCAUUUGUGUGUCUAUACCUCUUGUGAGAUUCCUCCAAAGCACCUGUUGAACCCAUGCUGGUCCUCAAAUGUGCUGAUGGAAGUGACAUGUUUUCUUCUGCCCACAGGCUGUCUGACUUGAAGGGGAGCUGCUGUUUAUAAUGCCACAAGGAGAACAAAGGAAGACCAGUGAGGAGCUCAUUCCCAAGGUCAUGACCACAGGAAGGACCCAGGUCUUUGGGUUGAGGCUCUAAAGAUGGGCCACAUCAUUACAGGAAUUUUGUUCCCUCCAGCCUUACCAGACAGAGGAGGGUAAAGAUGCAUAGAUGAACUGCUGACCCACAUAGACAAACAGCUGGGAGCUCUGGUGUAAGAUGGCUGGAGCUGUCUACAAGGCUGAGGUCGUUAGUGUUUCAUUUUCAGGGGCAGGGUGCUGCUUGGGACUUGCAGGCAGAUCAAACAACAGAUCACACAGCAGUGGAAGAAGAUCUGUUUAUUGGCCUCACUGAGAACAGAAGGCAGGAUGAAUGAUCUGAGGGUGGUAGAGACCUCAGCAAGUCUUUGAAUCCAUAUUUUAGCCUUCACUUCCCUGUAACCUCAAGCAGGGAGCUACUCUUCCUGUUCUUCAAGUGAAUACCUUGAACUCUUUGUCUAUUUCUUUGAAUUUACUCAGGCUGUUGGGAGCAGGCACUUGCUGACCCUACCUCUGCUCAGGCCUCGACAGAAUUCUCUCUACAGGCUGGGCUGCAUGAGGUCCUAGAAGCUGGGGGUCCUCUUUCUUCACUGCCUGCUCUAGCUCAGGGGUGGCUGGGCUGUAAUAGAGGGACCACCGGAUUUAGGCUUGGAAGAUCUGGGUUGGCAUCUGACACUGCCACUUAUUUGCAAGUCACUUAACCUCUAGGACUGAGUCCAGGUCAAUAAAAUGGGGACAAUACUGCCUCAUGUGGUCGUGAAUAAUGGAGGUGAGUAUACUACCACUGAUCUAUAGUCAGACCUGCCCUGGGUGUCAGCUGACCAGUGCGGAAGAGGGAGGCCACUUCCCUAGAGGCAGAGGAGAUGUUGAUAUGUAGCUUCAGACAGUUUUCAAUGCUUGUUUCCCCCCUACAUGUGGUUGUUCCUUUUAUUUUUUGUUGCAAUAUAUUUACUUUGGAUCUCAUAUUUAUAUACUGAGGAUGCUGCUUCCUAGGAAGGGAAAUAGACUUUACGAAAAUGCCAGUCUUUCAGAGGACAACAGACCAUAACUGUCACACAGAAUUUAGCAGAAAAUAUUAUUGCACUGGAUUUAGUUUUUAGUAGCAGUCAAGUGCCUACUAUAGUGCUCUGCCCAUAUCAAGCACCCUGUAAAUGCUGAGGCUGGACUAAAGCAAACACAACCCAACACACAUGGAAUGGGAGGAUGAAGUGAGUGCAGACAAUGGAGAGUAGUGAGAAAAACCAAAGUUAAAGCAUGACAGAGGUUUAAUGGAGUAUCAUAGAAUUAUCUACUGAGAGGAGAGAGUAGAAUAAACUAGAACUAAUAAGGAAAUACAACAGUAUGGAGAAGAGGAAUGUGGAAGCAGAGAAAAGCUGGAGAGGGACAGUCACCCCCAUGCAGUGGUUCUCCACCUUGGCUGCACACAGGGACCACAUGGGGAGUUUUAAAUAAUACUGAAGCCUGGGUGCAAUCCCCAGAGAAUCCAAUUUAAUUAGUCUGGGGUGGUGUCUGGGCAUCAGGAUUUUAAAAUGCUCCCUAGGUAAUUCUGAUGUGCAGCUGGGGUUGAGAACCGCCAUGUAAGGGAAUCAUUUAGCCAGAGAGUAAAGCUUGUAGUGCCGUAAAGGCUUAGUGCAGUGUGGUCCUUGGGGGACAAGGCAAAGCCUCUGGCCAGGUAUCACUCACUUGUGACCAGGAGUGUCUGCCAGACUUCUGCUCCGUGUCCUUUCUCCAGGAGCAGCUUGGGCUCUCAGUAGCUCCCCUCCCUGGUAACUGCUCUCUUCAGGCCUCUGACCCAUCAGAGGGCACGGGGGCCUGUUCAGAUCAGCAUUAGCCACCUCUCUGUUCCUCUGAGCCCCUAUAGCAGUGCUGGGCCCCUCGUGGGCGCUUAGUAAAGGGUUGCUAGGUGCUGUGGUCCUUCUGGGCCCUUUCAUGCUGAUUGAAAUGGGCUAAAUUUGUGGUUCUUGCUUCUUCCUCUCAAUCCUGCCCUGACUUCAAGAUCCAAAUUCUGCCCUUCCCAGCUCCCUCUUGGGAAGUAGAAUUCAGGCAGGGCAGCCUGCUCACUGUGGUUCCUACACUGGACAACACAGCACGGUGCGUGACUGGAACUCAGCCUGCAGCACACCCGACCCACAGAAAUGCGUUCUGCUGUCAGCUUUGUGUUCUCUUUUUUUCCCUGCCCUUCCUCCUCCCUUUUCUUUCUCCCUCCCUCCCUUCCUUGUUUCUCUCCUGUACUCUCCAGGCUCACAGCAGCAACCUCAUCCAAGAAGACCUGCCAUUAAGAGUAAAAAUGUGUCCAGUGCCCUGAAGUGGCCUCUUAUUUUUGGAGGGAAUGACUUACUUUUUCUCCCCUGGAAUUGCUGAUUUCACAGUGAAGAUUUGAUGCCACAGGGAGAGCUGUGGGUAGAAUUUAAAGUUAUCGCUGUCUCUGGAAAUCCUCUCUGAUUUGCCCUGCUUGCUGGAAGAACAGAGGAUGGAGGCAGGGGUGCUGCUGGUCCUCAGGUAGAACAUGGAGAGGACAGAACAGAGAUUUGCGUGCUGUUCAGAGACUAAUCUUAGGCCUUUGUUAGUAGAAAUCUAUUUAUACAAAAGCAAAAACAAAACAACGACUAUUUUGUACUUCCAUCCCACAAUAUCCAAACAGAGAGGAAAAAGCUGAAACAACCCUGGAGUGGGAGCAGGUAGGUUAUUAGUUUAAAAGGACCUGAAUAGAAGCUCCUCCCCCUUUGAAGUAUUUCUCUGCCCCUAAGAAAAGCCUCUCCCUAUUCUCCUCCUCUGAAAUGGAGAGAAAUAUUUUGCUCAAGGUUCUUGGCUGGGAGUAGGUUGGGGAACAGGUCAGGGAGAGGGAAGAGAUAAAUGUUUUUUUCCCCUCCUUUAGUGAGGGGAGCUUAUGAAAAUAAUGUAGAUGCUUCGGUGCUUAUGGGGGCUCAAAUUCUGUAGCUCUGGAAUUAUACAGCUGUGGGAUUUAAAUCUUAUAAUAGGGAUCUUGCAUCUUCCAACCUGGCAGUUGACCCCAGGACAGAGGGUGAUGCCAAGGCUGGGCUUUCUCAGAAUCCAGGAAAUUCCCUGCCUCAUCUCCCGUGGAGAAGCAGGUAAAGCCCCUUCUUCAGUCAAGGGAGAGGAAAGAGCCUGUAGCAGGCCUCCCUAGGAGUGAGAUCCCGGCCCCUCUUCCUUGAGCGGGAGACUAUCCUGUGGGUUAGGUCUAUGCUGCCCAGGAGGGGAAAUGUUAAGAUGGAGAAGUGUCACUUUCUGCCCCUUGGGAGAGCCAUGUGGUGGCCCCAGCUGCUUGUACUGGCUGGGCCUCUGUGCCAGUGUGUCCCACAGCCACCAACAAGAACUUGCAUCAUCUAUGCUUUUUCUGGUCGGCCUUCCAACCUGGACACUUUUCCAUAGGUACCUCCUGGUGCCUGGGCUCUGAGCUGACACACCUCCUGCUCUCACUUAGCUUUACCACAGCUUGGAAGCAAAAUGGGAUGAAGCUCUAAAGUUCUGGGGCUGACUGAGGAAAAUGGAGGAGAAACAUGGAACCAGUCUAGGGUGCUUUGGGAAAGGCAGCUGUGCAGAUAAAAAAGUGGCCGUGAGGUAGCUUUGGGGGCUAGAAAAAGAGACUUCCUAAACCAGUGAAGUGGGAAAGUUAGUGUUUGAGUGGAUGCUGGUGCUGCAGCCACUUGGGUCCCCACACCCACUGCCCUCGCCCCCUUCCUGGGACUCACCCACUUGGCAUCGGUCGCUACCCCAUUGCCGCAUCCUGUGCACCUCUGAUGUCCUGGUUGGUUGAGUGGGUUUGCAGUGAGUCUUUGGUGGGAAGUGGGGAUGGGACUACAGUAAAUGAAUAUCAUCUAUUGUGCUCACUGUGGCUAGAGACACCAUAGCUAAGAGUGAUUGUUUUAAGAUCACUGUGGUUCGGUCAUGUCAAAGCCUUGUUUAGAAUGCAGGUGCUGUUGUAUACAUCAUGAUGUGGUGGAUUAAAGGGGCCAUUAACAUCAAACUGAGUAAUGAACACUUAGUAUGAGUGAAUGAGAAGAUUACUGAAUAAAAGUAGAAGCUGCCCACUUGGCCCAGCUUUAAUUGCCAAGUAGUCUGAGCAUUUGCACAUGUACGGGACUGAGUAGUGACUGUGUGAACUUGGAAAGUUACCGAAGGAAAUACUACAUGCAGCAAGACUGCCCUGCUGAUGAACAACCUCGGCAUCCAUCAGACGGAAAUAACACUGUGAGUGAAAUCAUGGUACCUGACAAAGUAACUGUGUCAGUCUGAGCCGACAGCAAUGUCUGGGCUGUGGUGAGAAAUGACGAAUGUAGGAAACCAAAAGGUGCAUAGGGAAUGGCACACGCCAAGAAGAUGGACUAGAAGGGUGCAGGGAAAGAGGGUUUUUCCAAGACUCAGCUGAUGAUGAUCUCUUUGUCUCAGAAUACUUUAUUUAUAAAAGUGCAGCUCAAGUCCCAGAUUGGUGACCCAGAGGCUGAGCCGAGGGUCACAGCUGCAGCAUGCUAGUUGAAUUGUUGCCUCUAUUCACAAUCUGUUGUGUUUGCGAUGAUUUGUAGCAUGGAUGGGACUCACCUGGGCUGUGUACCGAAUGCUAAAGCCCCUGUGGGCCCAGGAGGCUGCCUGUUAAUAACUAUCAUAACACCAAUUACAUGUUUAUCAA